rnacentral:rRNA from 1 species
AUUGAACGCUGGCGGCAGGCUUAACACAUGCAAGUCGAACGCGUGGCGGACGGGUGAGUAACGACUGGGAAACUGCCCGGUGGUGGGGGAUAACUACCGGAAACGGUAGCUAAUACCGCAUACCAUCGGAUGUGCCCAGAUGGGAUUAGCUAGUUGGUGGGGUAACGGCUCACCUAGGCGACGAUCCCUAGCUGGUCUGGGAGGAUGACCAGGCACACUGGAACUGAGACAAGGGCCAGACUCCAACGGGAGGCAGAAGUGGGGAAUAUUGCACAAGGGGCGCAAGCCUGAUGCAGCCAGGCCGCGUGUAUGAAGAAGGCCUUCGGGUUGUAAAGGACUUUCAGCAGGGAAGCGGUACUCGCAGAAGAAGCACCGGCUAACUCCGUGCCAGCAGCCGCGGUAAUAC